CUUGGUUUUAAUGAUGACAUUAUUUUAUUCCUCUAUCCUUGAGUUACAUUCUAGCACUCCAACCACUAAAUAUCUAUAGAUGUUAUAUCCUCACGCGAUACAGGGACCGAAGCUUCUUCUUCUUCUGUGCAGUGACCAGGUGAUCCAAUGGUUUGUGAGAUUGACAUUGAAGUGGUGAGAUUCCAUACUUUGGAAGGCAUUCAUUUCAUGGUCUCUUACUCUUUGUCUUAGACAUGGUUUAGACGUUAUUUUUGGCUAUUGUCGGGGACAUGUUCCGACAUAUUAUUGAAUUCGCUUUUUUAGAGGUUUUAUGGAUUACUGUGGACUUAAGUGUGAUGGUUUAAUAUGUUUCUUGGUGGAUUGACUUAGAUGCUUUAUGAGUAUUAUUAGACUUACUUUCUUCUAUCUUUCUAUAUGUUUGGAAUGCAUUUAAUAUUUGUGGUUGAUAUGUUGGUUAGGUUAGGUGAAGGGGUUGAGCUUUAGUCCAUGUGGGACUUGAGAUACCUAUCGUAGCAAGGCCCUGGUUCGGGUCAUGACACAAUAUCGUAGUAGCUCUUCAUGUUUGAAUAUGUUAGGCAAUUUUUGUAUUGCUUUCAAAUUGGUGACUUGAUGAUAGCUUUUAUAGUUUUAUUUUCUUAAACUAUUUAUUUUUCUUACGGUUGUAAAUCCAUGGCAUUUGUGUGAUUUUGAAUCUUAAAUACUUUUCAUACAUGCUGGUUGUGUGCUAAUCUAGGUAAAGGAAGCCGAUUUUGUAGUUUAAUUAAGUAUUUUAUUGCUUAAUAUGUACACAUUGAGAAGAAUACGCUUGGAAGACUUUGACUCAGUUCUAGAAAGUAAGAUGAUACUUUGAAGUUUCUACUUUAUCCGAGUCACAUAUUUAAUUAACGCACUGAAAUAUUUAGUGUGGGCAUCUUAUAGGAUAGUAGUCAAAGGUUUGGUUACAUAAGAUGGUUAGUAAAAUUUUGAUUUAUUGUCUUGGAGAAAAAGAAUUCUUCUAUGAUUUCUUUUAACUUCUAUAUGCAAUGAUCUUUUAUUUUGAAAUCAAUCUCAUCGUGAAGAGAAAGUUAAGGCUCACAUAUCCUCAUCUGAUUAUGUUGUUUUAACUAUAGUAGUUGUUUGCUUCACUUACAUAUAAAUUUAAACAACUUUGAAAAGUAAAAGAAGUAUUUUAUGAAAUCAAGUAUCUGUGCAUAAAGGUACGAUUGUUGGAGAAGAGCUUGCAAUCAAGAAGAUGAAGUAGAAUGCCCAUAAACUUAGAAUCCCGCACAAUGGUGAAUUUUGUUCUCAAAUAUAUGUAACAUUAGAUAUCAACUCAUAGUGACUCUUUAUGUUAACUAAAUUUGUAGGCUUUAUAUUUUUAUUACUAGAUUGCAUAAGACUGAUUUUUCUUAUCCCUUUGACUUGGUAAACUCAACACUCAAAGCUUCCCUUCCUCCCCCAGACAACAGUGAUUCAUCCUACUUUUUCCUUGGUUAUUUGAACUCCAAACCUUUUGGUUGGAAAUGAGAUUCUCUUAUAACUGGAGUAACUUCUCCUAUUGUUGCAACUUGCACAUACUGAUUACAAGAAGGAUGAUCUUUUUUAAAAAAUAUUUUAAACUAUGAUACCUACAAUUUGUUAUAAUAUGAUGUUUACACUUGCUCUAUAUUAGGGUUUUGUAGUCAUUACAAGGUUAUAUUUGAAUGCUAUGUGUGUUUCAGUCUAAUCUUGUUAUAAGUUGGAAUCUUUAAUAUUGUCUUCCAUAUUUUUUUAGACAAAAUGUUUUAUACCUGUGAUUUCUGAUAGUGAUUUUGAACCAUAUUUCAUACUUUGCAGGUUACCUCCUAGCAUAUGUAAAAAAACUAAAAUCUUUUUUUCUAUCUUUGAUAGUUUCUCCAGUCACAUGUAUUUUAACAACAACAACAAUAAUAAACCCAGUGUAUUCCCACAAAUUGGGGUCUUGGGAGGGUAAAAUAUACAUAGUCCAUAUCACUACCUCUGAAGAAGUGGAGAGGUUGUUUCUGUUAGACCUCCGGCUCAAGACAAAGGACAGUAAACAAAGUCGUAAUAAAACGUGAAACAAGAUUGAAUAAUAGAAAUAAGACAUCCAUAAAGUAAUAUUGUACACUAACAAACCAAAGGCAUCCACCUCAUAACUAGAAGCUCCAACCUAUGUACAUAGCCCUAAGACUACUAGCCCAGCUACACCAAAGCACUACUAACUACUAGCUACGAUUCACCUACACACACUAGCCCUCUAACCUAAUCACGUCCUCCAUACCUUCCUAUCUAGGGUCGUGUCCUCAAUAAAUUAUAAUUGCUCUAUGUCACGUCUAACCACCUCCCGCCAAUAUUUCUACAUUGUACCUAUACCCCAUCCGAAACUAUCCAAAGCUAAACUCUCACACCUAUAAACUGGGGCAUUCAUGCCCCUCUUUAUCAUAUUCUUAAGCCAUCUCAGCCUUACUUCCCACAUCUUAUCAUCCACCGAAUCCACUACCACCUUCUCUCGAUUAGUCUCAUUCCUAACCUUAUCUCUCCUAGUAAGUUCACACACCCAAUGCAACAUUCUUAUUUCUGAUACCUUCAAAUUUUGAAUAUAGGAGUUGUUGAUUGGCUAACACUCCCCUCUAUACAGUAUGGUCGGACGGACUGCCACUCUUUAAAAUUGGCCUUUAAGCUUGGGAGGUACUUUCUUAUCACACAAAACUCUUAAGGUGAGCCUCCAUUUCAUCCUUGAUGCUUCAAUAUGGUGAGAGACAUCCUUGUACAUCUCUCCAUUCCCCUGAAUUGUAGACCUAAGAUACUUAAAACUAUCCCUCUUACAAACAACCUAGGAAUCCAUCCGUACUACCGCCUCGUCCUCCUACCUAAAGGCAUUAAACUUGAAUUCCAUGUGCUUCAUUUUGGUCCUAAUCAACUAAACCCUUUGGACUCCAUAGUUUGUCUCCAAACCUCUAAUUUAUCAUUCAUACCCCCCACACCCCUAAUGUCUCAUCAAUCAAACUACAUCAUCUGUAAAGAGCAUACAUCAAGGAAACUCUCCUUGGAUAUGACAUAUUAACACAUCCAUUACCAAGGAAAAUAAAAAUAGGCUAAGAGUCGAUCCUUAUACAUCCCUGUCAAUAUAGGGAAAUUGUCAUACCCCAAACCAGGGCCUAGCCAUGAUGGGUAUCUCAAGUCCAUCGAGGAUUGGAGACCACCCCUUUUUGCCUAACCAAAUAGAACACAAUACAGCUAGCAACAGAUGAAUUCUGAACAUAUAACAAGAUAAGCUAAGUUUAGAACAUAUAACAAGAUAAGGCAACUCAGAAAGGAAUUUAAGAAUUUCAAAAAUAUCCAAAUCUACAGUAAUCCAAAAAGUAUCUAAAUUGACCAAAACUAAUCUAAGUUGGGGCAUACCCAUGACUAUUAAAACCUGUAGGGGUUGCACCACAAUGUGAGGGACUAGGUACCUCAAAAUGAGUCACACGAAAAAACAUAGUAAAUAAACCAAGAACUUAACACAAAGUAGGAAACUUAAAGGACACAAGAUUUAACGUGGAAACCCCUUUGCUCAAGGGACGAAAAAACAUGACUUUCCCUUACAAGCUCCUCCAAAUUCCACUAUAAUCAACUUAUUGAUUACAAAAUCAAACUUGAAUCUAACUCUAGGUCCUUCCUGCUUGUAUAACUCUACUACAAGUCUAUAUUGAUAACUCUGCCAAGAACACACCUUGAUAUUGAUUAACUCAAACUAAUAUCCACCUUAGGUAACUCUACCUAAGAACUCUCAAAGCAAGAAGAAAAUAGCAUUACUCUUAUAACAUGAGUAAUUCAAUUACAAUUCAGUAUUCAACUCAAGAACACUCACUUUUUUUAGCACAUAGAAAAUAUAAAAACUUGAGAUAUACCUGAUCAAUAAAGCUAGAUUGAGUUUUUACCUCUCUCAAUUUCUUUAAUUCUAAAUUUUGCAGAAACUACUUAAUAGAGAAGCAUCCUUUUCCUUUUAUGGACCAAUUUAUUGGACCCGGUACAAGCUCAAUGUUCAGUCUUUAUUUUCAGAUUGGGAUGGGCCAACAAAUGUAAAUUCCUUUAAUUUCCAGUUUUAAUUAAUAAAAUACCACUAUUAAUUUAACAAAAAGACUAGGUGUCCUAAAUAUUACGAGCAGCACAUGCACAGUUUGUUACAUAAGAGGACAAAACUGUGAAGACGCGUGCUAGUUGUAAGGUAGCCUUGAACAUCCAGGGACUUGGUCCCUUGUAGUCAUCUGCUCAUCAUCAAAACAAGAUACAAUAAAUUUUUCCCCUUUUUGAUGAUGACAAACCAGCCUCUGAGUUUUGAGCAUCAAUACACAUUCAUCACAUUUAAUCAGUGUGAUUACCACUACUGAAGAUGAAUGAUCACCCUGUCAUGAAAGACCAACCAUGCUUCCAUCAUCAUGUAACUUAGGGACCUGGUCCCUUGUUAUUAUUUGUAAUAAAAACUUGACUCGUUUACUCCCCCUGUCAUUGUGACUCAUCAUACUUCUUUUUAUCAAUAUGCACCAUCAUUUCUUCCCCCUAUUAAUAUGCCAUACUUAUCUACAAAUCAACAUUUAUUCACCUAGUCCUUAACACAUGAAGUCAAUUCACCUGGCACCUUGUUACACCUAGUCCUUAAUACAUGAAGUCAAUAAUCCCUAUUUUGUCAUCAUUGAAAAGUGAAAACAGUAAACUAAGAGUAAAAUAAGCAUAGGUUAGUUAAAUCAUAGCCACUGGGGCAACACUAACAUGAUGAACAAAUUUAAUAGAAAGAGGAAUACAUGUAACACACAAAUGAAGAUUCAUUUAUAUGUAGAGGAUAAGUAUUAUUGUAGUGCACAAUUUAAAUGUUCCAAAGAAAAAGCCACUGGAAUCAAGAAAGGUUAAAUAGGAGAGGGACUUGAAAGGAUGAUUUUAAGAUGGAGAGCUAGGUUAUUAUUUUUCUGUAGCAUGAUAAUGCAACAAUUCCUUGGUUAAAUGCCUUAUCUCCGCAUUCAAGUUGAGAACCUCAUCUGUCAAAGGGGAGACUUUUUUUAGGUCAGCAUUUUCAUUUUUAAGAUCAUUAGUGACACUUGGACCCUCAACAGUCAGAUGCUGAAUUCUCAUGUUCAAUUUGCCGAUCUAUGCAUCUUUCAUAGCUAUAUUGAGCUAUAACUCCUCCAUCUUUUUGAUGAAAUCCUUCUGGAAGAUGGUGCUUGAUUUCUUCUUCACAUACUCAGUCUUGACUAGUGUCUUCAUACCAAUCAUUUGUAAUACAGUUCCAAGAGUUCCAUUCUGACACACAAUACCAAAGUGAUCGAACACUUUAUUUAAUCAGUAACUAUAAGACAUGACAUAUUUUCCAUUUUUUCCAAGAACCACUUUGUGUAUGUGUUCUAUCAUCAAUGUAGGUAAACUAACGAACUUAAAACUGCGAAGGUAUUCCAUGACAUACAAGUUAGUAGUUGAAGCAAUGUUCCUUUUUUGUGAUCUAGGAAAAAAUACUUUUUUUACAAAAUCAAAGACCAAUUUUAACGCACUCUUAUAUGAUUUCUUAUUUACAAUAGCCACUGAUUUACCUUUAACCUUUGAAAUAGUUGCCAAGAAUUCUAUUGAUGGUUGUUUCCUUGAGACAGUCCUCACAACUCAAAUACAAACAUCCAAAAUUAUCCCAAGUAAAGCAACAUCAAUAUUCAACUUCUUUCCUUGAACUAUUGUUAUCAUCUUAAUUUUAUCUUUAGAAAACUCCAAUGUGGAAUAGAAUUCCCUGACCACCUCAUCAAAGACUAUGGGAAUAGGUCCUUCCAUGAGGUACAUCCAGCCUUGAUGUUUUACUAGCGCAACUAACUCCAACAUUCUAGAUUUUGUUAACACACUUGUGUCAAAAGUCCUUCCAAUUAACACCAUUUGAUUUCUCAAGAACUUAUUUCUCACUUCUUUAGACACAACCUUACUUCUAUCCCCAUUUUUGUUCUAGUAUAGGUGAUCACAGAUUCCCUAACAGUCACUUUCCUCUUUUUAGGACCAGAUCCCUUAAGAGUCUUCUUCAUUUUAGAAAGACUUUCAGACUUUUACCCAGAAUAUCUUAAUAUUUUACUUUGUUUUUUUAGACCAAAAAUACCCAUUCAUGGGCUAUUUGAUAGCAAUACGAUAGUUUCAGCAACCCAAGCAUCAUCUAUCAAUGUAUUAUAAGAAAAAUUUUAAGGGUUCAAGGAUGAUUCUUCAUCAACAAUUUUAGUAAAUAAGGAGUUUGGCUUGGGAAGAAUAAGAGGCAAAGGGUGUUUUUCAAGAGGAUUUGAGAAAAAACUUCUAUUAGUGUUAAUCUCAUCUCCCUUUAAAAGACAUAAAAAUAAGGAAUUUAUAGCUAUUUGUAGAUCCUACCACAACAAAACUAUUUGUGACUAACUUUUUCUUUUUGAUAAGAGAAGGAAUGGGUCUGCCUAGAUACAAAGAAAAGAGUAAGCAUAGGAAGGGUUUUCGAAAGAAUUGGAUAUGAUCAGUUUCAAUUUAGGGGUGAAUCAUCCUUUCUUUUAGAAUAAGAUAAUUUUCUGACAAAGAAAGAGAGAGGACCCAUCUUUAUUUCUUAGAACAAACAAAAAUGCACAUUCAUGAUACUAACUUGAGAAAUAUGACUAGGUCCCUCUCUUUCUUUAAGUGAAUCCUCAACGUUGUGAAUAUCACAUUUUCCUCUUCCAAAGUUAUUCCUAAGGGUGUAUAACAGCUGACACGCCCCGAAAGCCUACAUAAAUCAAAGGUCACCCCGAUAACCCAACCUAAUCAUCAAUAUAAAUCACAAGGGUAGGAUGAAUCCCAACCAUAUAAUAAGAUAGCAGAAACACACUACAAAUCAUAACUUAAACAUGUCUAAGUACUUCAUUAGAUUUAUCAAUCUAACUAUUACACCAAAUUCCACAAUCAUCCACAGCACCUCUAUUCAACUAAUGUUUAGAAAUAUAUAUGUCAGGAUAAGCCCCCGACAAUAGCCAAACCAAGUCAAAAUAAGACUAAGUCUAAAGAUAGGGGACCAAGAAUUAAUGUCUUCCAAAAUAAGGAAGCACACCACUCUGAAGUCAAUGCAUGAAUCGCUUCGAUCACCUAAUCACUAUGUGGGAAAAUAAGAUAUUGUUUCAGCACCUAUGUCGCGUGGAGACAUAGCAUUCGAAUACGAUUAGCGGUUGGAAAGCUAGCAUGUAACUUAUGGAUAAGGAUAUAAUAGCAUCAUCAUUCAACAACAAGUCAAUAUAUCAUAUUCAAUCAUAUUCAUACUCUUAUCCUUACAUACAGCUAUACCACAUGCAAAUCAAGAAAAUUAAGGCUCAGAAACAUUCUUAAAUAUUCAUUCAUUAGGAAUGAAGUGGGGGAAUCCGACCCUUCAUUCUUAUUGAUUCAAAUGUUUCUCAUUAGGCAUAGGACUUUAACCAUAUUCACAUACCAUUAGACAAAGGUCUCUAACCAUGCUCACACUUUUAUUGGCCAAGGACUUUAACCACAUACAUAAUCAUUCAAACAAAGGACUCUAACCAAACACCCAUUCAUUUAGGAAAGGGAUUCCAACAUCACGUCCAUUUAUUAGACAAGGGACUCUAACCUCAUCCAAAGGACUCUAACCGCAAGCCAUUUUAUUUAAUGAGGUAUAAUAACCUCAAGAUAUAUCUUUAUACAAAGGGACUUUAACCUCGAGUAAUUUCAAUAGGCAAAGAACUUCAAACUCAAGCAAUUUCAUAAGGCAAGGGACUUCAACCUUAAGCUAUCACAACUAUCAUUAGUUGACAUUAGGACUUUGAACCUUUGCCCAUGUAUCUACAUUUAUUUCAUACAACACUUAAGGACUUUAACCAUUAUACUAAUUCAAUAGUCUACAUGACCCCAUGGUCCUUAUGGAAGCCUUUAUGGAUCAACCAUUUCAAUAGACCAUUUCCUCCAUUCAUUCAAUCAUACAAUUAAAGUUAUGGUCAUCAAGACCCUCACAACUAUUCAUAUUUCACUAACCAUCUCAGACCAUAUUCUCAUAACACUUGGUUCAACACACAAUUUAAAUGCAUUAUCAUGUUUUAGGUAUUUUAACCACUUAUUAGUCAAUUAACCCAACAUGAUCAUAAAUUAUACAAUACAUAUCUCAAAAUACUUUUAACAUAUCAUUCAUCAAUCAUUUAUGCUUAUUAGGCCAUUGCCCUAGUUCAAAACAUCUUCAACAUAUGACUAGAUAAUUCACUUAGACUUUUCCACAAACACCUUAUGUGCAUACCUCUAAAAAGGCUAUUUUCAUGGUAGAAAUCAUCAAGGUUAGGGUUACUCAAGACCCUCAAGUUAGACCUCACACAACAAUCAUUCACAUAUGCAAAUCAUUAUCAUUAACAUCUAUAAACAUGAGUCUAAGCAAGAGUCAACAUUUUUCAUCAUUAGGCAACAAAACCCUUUUCAUUUGAUUUCAAAGUCACUAUGUAAACUUACCAAUCAAAGUGUAAAAUACAUGGGUUUAGAGUUAUUUAGCAAGGGGAAGAGGUACAUGCCUUAUAUAACUCGAUUCACCAAAGAAUCUUGACUUCACUUUGUUCCUAGAUGGACACUCUUGAACCUUAGCCUCCAAUCCUUCAAAAAUUGUGUUUGAGAGAGAGUUUUAGAUGUUUGAUCCACUAAAAGUGUGUUCAAGUAGCACUUAUACACUUAUAUAGACUUAGGAUUUCAGGCAUGGGAAAUGACCAAAAGUCCCUUAGUUAAAAGCUGUAAAAUAAACCCGUGUAGGGGUACGACUCACCUGGCAAACCGUACCUUAAGGUACGAGUGGUACUUUGAUUUGUACCUUAGUUUUAUCCUAGGUCACCUACAUUUUUAAGGGUAUGAUCACAUACCCUUGAGUCAUAUCCAAAGGGCACGACUCAACCCCUAACUCGUAUACACCACCCGUACCUAGAACAGUCCACUAAAGCUAGGACUUUCCUCUAUAAGAUUAUGUUGGGUAUGACUCAUAUACUUAGGGUACGAUUGAGGAGGAAGUAACUCAUACCUAGGAUAGUGAUUAACCCUAAACACACUGUUAGGAUACAAGAGGGGAGAAAAGGGAGGAUAAGACUCAUAUCCAAGGGGUACGACUCAUUCCCCUAGUCGUACCCACCCCAGUGACAUCAAAUAGAGAGUUUCUUUCAAUGGUUCAAAGUCUAAGUGUUUCAAUUCUCCCCCACUUGGAUCAUUCAUCCGCGAAUGAUGGGAAAGGCAUGUAAUAAACACAAGUUAACACAUUAUAACAUAUCAAACCAACCCUUGAACAAGUUAGAACAAGCAUACAAUAAGGAUAUAACACAUACUAUGCUCAUUAUCAACCAAUUAUUCACUUCAUCAUCUUUGGGACUCAAACCCAUUAUUUAUCAAGACAUUUGUUCAUUGUAAAUAUUAGGGACUUAAACCCUUACUUAUCAAUAGUUACUCAUUUCACAACUUAAUGACUUCAACCCAUCGACUUAUCAAGGAUACUUGCACAAUUCAAAGAUUAAGGACUCGAACGCUUCGUUUACAAAAGGUAUAAAUCAACUCAAGAUACCAGGGACUUAAGACCAUCACAGUAAGACACACAUAAUUUCAAAGAUUUAAGGACAUGAACCCAUGGUUUAACAAGACACAAAUCAACUCAACACAUUAGGGACUUUAACCCAUUGUCUAUCUAUAAUACCCCGUAUGUUUCUAAGCUAGGAGACGAACCAUUUUUCCUACAUAUGAAACCUCCUAUCCUGUGAGUCGCAUUUUAGUGGAUGACUUACAAUGAGUAUCCUAGCGAUAAGAUAUCUUAUGAUUCAUUAAGCAUGUUCAUAUGAGUCACUUAAGGUAAUACAAGCUAAGAGUUUUUGAAUCCAUCAAGUUUUAGUGUUUGAUUUUACAAGGGUCAUCUUUGAACGAGUAUAACUUGAUGUUAAUGUGGUAUUUUGGCUGAUUUAUACCCACCAAAUUGUAUAUAAUUGAAUUAGCUUUCCAUCGAUACCAAUUUUUCCUUAAUACAAUACCCGAGCGAAAAAUUAUGCCCAUUUUUGUGAGAGACAGUAAGGAUAGGUGAUUGGUUAGGCGCCGCCCAACCAAACUUAGGCGAUUGGUUAGGCGCCGCCUAAGUCAUUUCCAAUGCCAAAAAC
rnacentral:lncRNA from 1 species